GUGCUCACUUCAGCAGCACAUGUGAUAAAAUUGGGAUGAUACUGAGAUUAGUGUGCCCCCAGCAUAAAGAUGAUACGUAAGUUCAUGAACUGUUCCAUAUUUUA